rnacentral:rRNA from 1 species
AGUGAACGCUGGCGGUAGGCCUAACACAUGCAAGUCGAACGGCAGCACAGUAAGAGCUUGCUCUUACGGGUGGCGAGUGGCGGACGGGUGAGGAAUACAUCGGAAUCUACUUUUUCGUGGGGGAUAACGUAGGGAAACUUACGCUAAUACCGCAUACGACCUACGGGUGAAAGCAGGGGAUCUUCGGACCUUGCGCGAUUGAAUGAGCCGAUGUCGGAUUAGCUAGUUGGAGGGGUAAAGGCGCACCAAGGCGACGAUCCGUAGCUGGUCUGAGAGGAUGAUCAGCCACACUGGAACUGAGACACGGUCCAGACUCCUACGGGAGGCAGCAGUGGGGAAUAUUGGACAAUGGGCGCAAGCCUGAUCCAGCCAUACCGCGUGGGUGAAGAAGGCCUUCGGGUUGUAAAGCCCUUUUGUUGGGAAAGAAAAGCAGCAGGUUAAUACCCCGCUGUUCUGACGUUACCCAAAGAAUAAGCACCGGCUAACUUCGUG